GAUGAAGAACGUAGCGAAAUGCGAUACGUAAUGUGAAUUGCAAAUUCAGUGAAUCAUCGAGUCUUUGAACGCACAUUGCGCCCCCUGGUAUUCCGGGGGGCAUGCCUGUCCGAGCGUCAUUGCUGCCCUCAAGCACGGCUUGUGUGUUGGGCCCCGUCCUCCGAUCCCGGGGGACGGGCCCGAAAGGCAGCGGCGGCACCGCGUCCGGUCCUCGAGCGUAUGGGGCUUUGUCACCCGCUCUGUAGGCCCGGCCGGCGCUUGCCGAUCAACCCAAAUUUUUAUCCAGGUUGACCUCGCAUCAGGUAGGGAUACCCGCUGAACUUAAGCAUAUCAAUAAGCGGAGGA
rnacentral:misc_RNA from 1 species